rnacentral:rRNA from 1 species
UGCAGUCGAGCGGUAACAGGGGUAGCUUGCUACCCGCUGACGAGCGGCGGACGGGUGAGUAAUGCAUGGGUAUCUGCCCGGUAGUGGGGGAUAACUCGGGGAAACCCGAGCUAAUACCGCAUACGUCCUACGGGAGAAAGCAGGGGAUCUUCGGACCUUGCGCUAUCGGAUGAGCCCAUGUCGGAUUAGCUUGUUGGUGAGGUAAUGGCUCACCAAGGCCGCGAUCCGUAGCUGGUCUGAGAGGAUGAUCAGCCACACCGGGACUGAGACACGGCCCGGACUCCUACGGGAGGCAGCAGUGGGGAAUAUUGGACAAUGGGGGGAACCCUGAUCCAGCCAUGCCGCGUGUGUGAAGAAGGCCUUCGGGUUGUAAAGCACUUUCAGUGGGGAAGAAUGCCUUGUGGCUAAUACCCGCGAGGAAGGACAUCACCCACAGAAGAAGCACCGGCUAACUCCGUGCCAGCAGCCGCGGUAAUACGGAGGGUGCAAGCGUUAAUCGGAAUUACUGGGCGUAAAGGGCGCGUAGGCGGCUUGCCAAGCCGGAUGUGAAAGCCCCGGGCUCAACCCGGGAACGGCAUUCGGAACUGGCAGGCUAGAGUGCAGGAGAGGAAGGUGGAAUUCCCGGUGUAGCGGUAAAAUGCGUAGAGAUCGGGAGGAAUACCAGUGGCGAAGGCGGCCUUCUGGACUGACACUGACUCUUAGGCGCGAAAGCGUGGGUAGCAAACAGGAUUAGAUACCCUGGUAGUCCACGCCGUAAACGAUGUCAACCAGCCNUUGGACCCCUUGAGGGUUUGGUGGCGUAGUUAACGCAUUAAGUCGACCGCCUGGGGAGUACGGCCGCAAGGCUAAGACUCACAUGAAUUGACGGGGGCCCGCACAAGCGGUGGAACAUGUGGUUUAAUUCGAUGCAACGCGAAAAACCUUACCUGCUCUUGACAUCCUGCGAAUCUCCCA